rnacentral:rRNA from 1 species
UACGUAGGGUGCAAGCGUUGUCCGGAAUUAUUGGGCGUAAAGAGCUCGUAGGCGGUUCGUCGCGUCGGCUGUGAAAACCCGGAGCUCAACUCCGGGCCUGCAGUCGAUACGGGCGGACUAGAGUUCGGCAGGGGAGACUGGAAUUCCUGGUGUAGCGGUGAAAUGCGCAGAUAUCAGGAGGAACACCGGUGGCGAAGGCGGGUCUCUGGGCCGAUAUUGACGCUGAGGAGCGAAAGCGUGGGGAGCAAACAGG